ensembl:lncRNA novel transcript
ACAGUCCCUUCAUGUCUGGAGGCAGAGCAGGAAUGUGAUCCAAGUGACCUGACCACUUCCACUCAUCAAGGAGAAAAGGAAUUCCCACAGGCUUUAAAAGGCGGUCACAGUCACAUGAGUGGUCUGGUGAGCUAUGCCUAUAGUGGCACAAGUGGGUUUGCUGGGCUCGUGCCUCUCAGAGGCCACUUGGCAACUUCUCCCGGUGGCACAGCGCUGUCCUUGGACAACUACCUCAAGCUUUCUCAUCAGAGGACAGAGCUCUUGUGUCACCUGAUCUUGUUGCCGGUCAAAACAUCCCUGCAUGUCAGGUGUGCUGGUGCAUGCCUGUAGUCCCAGCUACUCAGGAGGCUGAGGCAGGAGAAUUGCUUGAGCCCAGGAGUUUGAGGCUGCAGUGAACUAUGAUCACACCACCGGACUCCAGCCUGGGUGACAAGCAUUCUAUCAAAAUACAGUGUUUUGGGCGUCCGGCUUCCUUCUGCAACAGACGUGGGUCACGCUCUCUCUGGCUCUCUUUCUGCCGCCAUCUUGAUUCCACGUUCCCUCCACAAAAUGCCUGGCGAAGCCACAGAAACCGUCCCUGCUAUAGAGCAGCAGUUGCUGCAGCCCCAGGCUGAGACAGGGUCUGGAACAGAAUCUGACAGUGAUGAGUCAGUACCAGAGCUUGAAGAACAGGAUUCCACCCAGGUAACCGCACAAGUCCAGUUGGUGGUAGCAGCUGAAAUUGAUGAAGAACCAGUCAGUAAAGCAAAACAGAGGCGGAGUGAAAAGAAGGCACGGAAGGCUAGGUUCAAACUGGGUCUUCAACAGGUUACAGGAGUUACUAGAGUCACCAUCCGGAAAUCUAAGAAUAUCCUCUUUGUCAUCACAAAACCAGAUGUCUACAAGAGCCCGCUUCGGAUACCUACAUGGUUUUUGGGGAAGCCAAGAUUGAAGAUUUAUCUCAGGAAGCACAACUAGCAGCUGCUGAGAAAUUCAAAGUUCAAGGUGAAGCUGUCUCAAACAUUCAAGAAAACACACAGACUCCAACUGUACAAGAGGGCAGUGAAGACGAAGAGGUCGAUGAAACAGGUGUAGAAAUUAAGGAUAUAGAAUUGGUCCUGUCACAAGCAAAUGUGUGGGGAGCAAAGGCAGUCCGAGCCCUGAAGAACAGUAAUGAUAUUGUAAAUGCUAUUAUGGAAUUAACAAUGUAACCAUCUGAAAGCAACUUUUUUGGUGUCUCAGAUGAGUAACUGCAGCUUGGUUUGAAAUUUGUACUGUUUCUAUCAUAAAUAAAGUUAUGGCUUCUUGUUGGAUGAAAAAAAAAAGACAGUAUUUUGCCAAAUUAAACAGAAAAGAGAGUUCAGUGGAAGAUGGCUCUGAUUUCAGGGUAAUAAUAAUGAUUCCCACAAAGGCUGUCCUGGAAAUUCACCAACAUCACCGCUAAAAUGUCUAACCACAUUGUCAACUGUGCUGCCUGGUCAAGGACUGAGGACCUGUCUCAGAGUGAUCUUCCUUAAUCACAGAUCUAGUCAUGACCUGGUUUUGCUCAAAAUGUUUCAAUGGCUCCCGAUUGCCU